rnacentral:lncRNA from 1 species
GAUCUGUACACACACACACACACACACACACACACACACACACACACACACAGACACGCACGCACACGCACACACACACACACACAUAUGCAUACACUCAUGCACACACACAAGCACAUACAUGCACAUACAAAAUUUAAAAAUAAAAAUACAUCUUAAAAAUGGAUAAAUAUGGACAAAUUGGUCCAGAUCCUGAAGGGAUUAAAUACUAUGACAAGAUUUUCAAGUUUUGUUUUCUUCCCAAUACACCGCUUUGAUCAAAUAGUCCUAAGGAAAAAAUAAUGUAUACACGAGUUAAAAGAGGUUUUAUCUUUUUUUUAAAAAACUGAGUUUAGAAGUCAUUAAGUCUUGACCUCUUUCCCAAAAUAAUGCCAGACCCCAAACAGAGAGCAGAGCAUGUGACCAGUGGGGGAGCUGUGUGCUUUGCCUGCUGGAUGGAUCCUCACAAGCUCAGCUUCCUGGAGUCCCCACUUCGGCCUUUCUGAGUCCUGGUAGGCGCAGACUAUGGCCAGCCCUGUCUCUUCUGGAAGACUCCAGUGGAGGCUUUCCUUAGUGGUGCCAGCAGAAUGGUUUUUACAUUGUCAAAAAGCUCAGUAAAGGUUUCCUGAAGUGAACACACACACACACACACACACACACACACACACACACACACACACGUACACACACACGGAGACAUACUGUUCCAAAUAUGUUUGGUUCUUCACUCCCAAAGGGGAAACAUCCUAUGGAGUGAUAAAUAGUGUAACAUAUACUAAUAAUAUAUUAAGCACAAUGGCCCAGAGCAAAGUAAAAUGACUAACAUGGAGUGCUUACUUUGAGCCAAACACUAGUGUUGUAAUCCACAAACCUCAAAGAAGUCCCCCAAGUGAAUAGUGUCAUUAUUUUCAUUUGACAAAUAAAGAAUUGAAACUGUAAAUGUUAAGUAACGUGCGCAAUCUCUACAAGAUAUACAGAUGUCCCAAGCUUGGCUUGAGACUAAAAUGGUACAUGAUGUAUAGUACAUGAUACAUAUUACAUCCUUAAACAUGAUUUUAUUUUAUUUUAUUUUAUUUUAUUUUAUUUUAUUUUAUUUGACCUUUUACAUCACUAUUAUACCACUGAAGAAUUCUU